GACGAACGCUGGCGGCGUGCUUAACACAUGCAAGUCGAACGGAAAGGCCCUGCUUUUGUGGGGUGCUCGAGUGGCGAACGGGUGAGUAACACGUGAGUAACCUGCCCUUGACUUUGGGAUAACUUCAGGAAACUGGGGCUAAUACCGGAUAGGAGCUCCUGCUGCAUGGUGGGGGUUGGAAAGUUUCGGCGGUUGGGGAUGGACUCGCGGCUUAUCAGCUUGUUGGUGGGGUAGUGGCUUACCAAGGCUUUGACGGGUAGCCGGCCUGAGAGGGUGACCGGCCACAUUGGGACUGAGAUACGGCCCAGACUCCUACGGGAGGCAGCAGUGGGGAAUAUUGCACAAUGGGCGGGAGCCUGAUGCAGCAACGCCGCGUGCGGGAUGACGGCCUUCGGGUUGUAAACCGCUUUCGCCUGUGACGAAGCGUGAGUGACGGUAAUGAGUAAAGAAGCACCGGCUAACUACGUG
rnacentral:rRNA from 1 species